UAGGGAAUCUUCGGCAAUGGGGGGAACCCUGACCGAGCAACGCCGCGUGAGUGAAGAAGGUUUUCGGAUNGUAAAGCUCUGUUGUUAAGGAAGAACGUGUGUGAGAGUGGAAAGUUCACACAGUGACGGUACUUAACCAGAAAGGGACGGCUAACUACGUGCCAGCAGCCGCGGUAAUACGUAGGUCCCGAGCGUUGUCCGGAUUUAUUGGGCGUAAAGCGAGCGCAGGCGGUUAGAUAAGUCUGAAGUGAAAGGCAGUGGCUCAACCAUUGUAGGCUUUGGAAACUGUUUAACUUGAGUGCAGAAGGGGAGAGUGGAAUUCCAUGUGUAGCGGUGAAAUGCGUAGAUAUAUGGAGGAACACCGGUGGCGAAAGCGGCUCUCUGGUCUGUAACUGACGCUGAGGCUCGAAAGCGUGGGGAGCGAACAGGAUUAGAUACCCUGGUAGUCCACGCCGUAAACGAUGAGUGCUAGGUGUUAGGUCCUUUCCGGGACUUAGUGCCGCAGCUAACGCAUUAAGCACUCCGCCUGGGGAGUACGAACGCAAGGUUG
rnacentral:rRNA from 1 species